rnacentral:rRNA from 1 species
CGUGUAGGCGGGUCUUUAAGUCAGGGGUGAAAUGCCGAGGCUCAACCUUGGAACUGCCUUUGAUACUGGAGAUCUUGAGUCCGGGAGAGGUGAGUGGAACUGCGAGUGUAGAGGUGAAAUUCGUAGAUAUUCGCAAGAACACCAGUGGCGAAGGCGGCUCACUGGCCCGGAACUGACGCUGAGACGCGAAAGCGUGGGGAGCAAACAGGAUUAGAUACCCUGGUAGUCCACGCUGUAAACGAUGGAUGCUAGCCGUUGGGGAGCUUGCUCUUCAGUGGCGCCGCUAACGCAUUAAGCAUCCCGCCUGGGGAGUACGGUCGCAAGAUUAAA